GGCGGAAGAGCGGCCCCGCCCCCAAGGCCGAGCGAGGCUCCGCUCAUGGGCGGCUCAGCGCCAUCUUGUCUGCCUGCUGGGCAGCCGCUGCGGAGCUGUUGUGGCACCUUCAAGAGCUCCAAGCAGCUGUUGAGGAUUUUCCAGGCAGUUUUCAGCCUUUGGAGGCAUUUUUGAAGGCUGCUGAGCACUGACAGAAGCCAGACCCUGACUGAGAGCCUUGCAGAAGGAGUUUACAGGAGCUUGGCAAGGUCAGCAGUCACCUCUGUAAUGCCUUGUCUGGCUGCUGCUGGUAAUGGGUACUGUGCAACACAGGGUUUCCCCCUUCUGAUGGUGCUGGAGUGAGUUCGAGUAAGGUGCCAUUCCGGGAAUGCCUGAGUCCAAGAGUCUCCUUUGCAUCUGAGUCUGAAGGAAUUCCUUGGGCAACAGUGGCAUGAACAUACUUAAUGGCUUUUCUACCAGUGCUAGUUCAAAGUCUUUGGACGCACAGUCCCUUACUUUAAAGUUUUUCUCCCUCAAUUGUGGUUCUGGUAGAUCAUGAAAUGAAGAAGAUACAAGAGAUUGGGCUUCAGACAGUCUUUCCCCACCCCCACACACCUCUUCAGAGAUACACAAUUUUAAAUUAUCAGGAAGGACUGUAGCAGGAUCAGAAUCUGAUUCUUCUGAAGCUUUUAUGGAGACCUUCAGCUUUAUUUGCUCCUUCAAGGCAGCAACAGUUUCUUUAAUUUGCAGCACAAAUCAUGUAACUUCUGAUUUUGUGCCUCUGCUUUUUCUAAUCCUCUUUUCAAGCUGUUGUUUUUUUCCUUCAGACUCUCUAUAGUGUCUCUCAUUGCAUUAAAUUCACUCUGUGCACAAAUUA